GGUGCUCCAGACCCGUCAGGAGUGGACCUGUCCAUGGUGUCCAGCCGGCUUCCGACAAAGCCCGAUUUCGAGGCGCUUGCAGCAUCGGCGCCCGCGUCGGCCGAUCGCCGCACGCUCAUUCUGGCGCUGAUCGGUAACCUGGUUUCAAGCUGGACCAAUAACGAGAGUCUGUUCAUUUACGUUCUCAUGCUCCUUCUGCGAACGGAUCAGGCAUCUGC
rnacentral:misc_RNA from 1 species